CAAUAUGAUAUCACACAUUGCAUUUGAUGGAGCCAGAAAUGAAAUCUAGAUCUGCUGUAUUUCCACUGCCCUUGGCCAUUGUGCAUUAAGCUGUUUUACAUAUUAAGUGCCAUAGAGUUGAUAUCUGCUUUUGGGAAAGAAUACUUCAAAAUAAAACCAAAACACUUAAAUCUGGAAAGAUAAUAAUUUAAAGGAAGUCAUGCUUUAUCAAUGUUAAGAGGAUAUGGAUGUUCCUUUUUCUCCAGGCAUAAGGAAAGUGCCUCUGAAAUAAAGAUUUUAUGACUUGCUUCAGGAGAGAAGAGCAGCAGGAAGGUGAAAGUGACCUUUCUGCAUCUGUUGUUCCUCAAAUGCCCCCGUACCAUAUUUUGGUGUAACAUGUCCUGAACCCCAUCACACUGUCUCCAGUUCUGGGAUAUUACAAAUAAGGUUGUUAAAGGUUAUGUCGAAAGGACUCAGGUGUCAUUGAAGAGGCUGCCACUGGGCAGUUAUGAUACAACUCAAACUCCAAAAGUGGUAACAUGUAAGACUAAUUUAAAUCACCAAAUAUGCUUAAAGUCAUAAUUGAAUAAUAAUAAUUAGUCAAUUUUAGGGAAAUGAUAGGGAAGUAAAUCAUUAUCCUUAAAACAAGAUAUAAAGGGAAAAGAUUUAUCCUGUCCUUCCAAAGGAGUUAUAGUACUGUGAAACCAAAUAGUAGUUGCUAUGGUCUGAGUAUUUGUGUCUCCCCAAAAUCCCUAUUUUGAAAUCCUCACUCCCAUAUUGGAUGGUAUCAGGAGAUGCGGCCUUUGAGAAAAGAGAAUAGGUUGGAUCCCUUCUGAACAAGAUUAAUGCCCUUGGAAGAGGUCUUAGAGACACUCCUUCUCCCUUCACCAUGUAACAACACAGAAACAAGACACUGUCUAUGAGCCAGAAAUUGCUCUGGCCAGACACUGAUUCUGCCUUGGCUGUGGACAUUCCAGCCUCCAGAAGUAUGAGAAAUAAAUUUCCAGUUUGUUGUUAUUUGUUAUAGCGGUCCAAGUGGACUCAGGCAGUAGUGUAACCAUGUUUUUACCUUUAAUUUUACUAUUGCUAUUUUGCUACUCACUAGGCAGCAAUUGAUUUAGUCCUUUAAAGUCAACCACUGAUAAUACCACAAGACAUGCUUCUUGAUAAAACAAGACAAUACCUAUAUUGUCUAGCCAAAGGAAUUGAAAAUGAGUCUGAUGAAAACUCUGGGGCCAAUUGGCAAUUUGCAAAAGUAUAGAUGAGAGAAAACAUCCUGAAAUGAGUAUGCAAUCAGCAAAUCCAGACUGCAGAAAACCCUUAAGGUCAAACACCACAUGAUUUUCAGCAAAUAAGUUACAAGGAAACAAAAAGGACAGAAGGGAAUCCAUAAAAUAAAAAAGACCUUAACAAAAUUAAAAUAAAGUUGGCAAGACUAAACUGUAAUUUGGGAACCACACCUGGAGAUUAAAUUUAUGAACGGAAAUGACUAAUAUAAGAGUCAGGAUACCGGCUAAUCUUGAGGGAAAGGGUGGUUUUGAGACUAAAUCCGAGACAAUGAGGAGCCUCUGCUGUUUGUGGCUUAGUUAUAUUUCUUUGAUUUUGUAGUUUUUAUCUUAUUAAAUUUGUAGUAAUUUAUUAAGUUAUAUAACUGCUGUUUACAGUUUUCUUGCAUCUGUAUUCUAUUUUACAUUUAAAGAGCCUUUUUAAAAAGAUGGAACAGAUCAUUUUAAAUAUUGUGUUAAUAAUUCAAAGGACACAGUGAAACUGUACUGAGAUAUGAAUAGAAAAUAAAGAGCACAUUUUUCUUUUUCUUUUCUUUUUUUUUUUUUUUUUUUGAGACUGAGUCUCUCUCUGUCACCCAGGCUAGGGUGCAGGGCACAAUCUCAGCUCACUGCAACAUCUGCCUCCCAGGUUCAAGCAAUUCUCCUGCCUCAGCCUCCCAAGUAGCUGGGAUUACAGGCAGGUGCCACCAUGCCCGGCUAAUUUAUGUAUUUUUAUAGAGACAGGGUUUCAACAUGUUGUCUAGGAUGAUCUCAAACUCCUGUCAUCAGGUGAUCCUACCUGCUAAGCAUCUCAAAGUGCUGGGAUUACAGGUGUGAGCCACCUCUCCUGGCCUACGUAUUUCUUUACGUGAGAAGAAUCAAAGAAUAUUAAUAUAUUCUUUCUUGUUAAAAGUUUCCAAAAAGUCAUUUAUUUGAUGACUGAGUAGAUCCCAUUAUCCAAUUAUUUUGAACAGUACAUAUUUUAUUUUAUUCAUGAGUAAUGGUCAAUUUAAGAGUUUGGAUUUCAACUAGACUGAAUUGCAUUUUAUUUUACCAUUCAAUGAAGUAAUAGAUGAAUUCAACAAACUACACAUUUCACAGUUGCUUUGAGAUAAAUUGACCUUCACUGAAUUAGUUUCUUUGCACAAGGUAACCAAUAUAAAAAUUCCAAUUUGCAUGAAGAUCUUUUAAAAGACAGCAGGAGUUCAGUACAAGCUACUGAGUGUUUUCUUGUUCUCUAACAGAAAUUCACUCAAAAUAAUGAAAAAUGAUUUUUCAUGCACCUUCCUUUAUAUUUGUGCCCAAAAUUGCAGAUUGUACACAAAGGGACUGUGCUAAGCUGAAC